rnacentral:rRNA from 1 species
UACAGAGGCCCCAAGCGUUACUGAGAAUCACUGGGUUUAAAGGGUGCGUAGGUGGUCCGUUAAGUUUCGUUGUGAAAGCCCUGGGCUCAACCCAGGAACUGCUUCGAAUACUGGCGGACUUGAGGCUAGUAGGGGUUACUGGAACUGACGGUGGAGCGGUGAAAUGCGUAGAUAUCGUCAGGAACGCCAAUGGUGAAGACAGGUAACUGGGCUAGUUCUGACACUGAGGCACGAAAGCGUGGGGAGCGAACGGG